rnacentral:misc_RNA from 1 species
GUGAAUCAUCAAAUCUUUGAACGCAAAUUGCACUCUCUGGUUUUCCGGGAGAGUAUGCCUGUUUGAGGGUCAGCCUAAAAAAAAUCGACAUUGUUGCUGUUAUUUAAUGGUGACUUUCGUCGGAGAUUGAGUUAUCUUAAACCUUUUUUUUUGGUUUAAGCGACUUAAAAUUUUUCUUCACGAUUCCAUGAACGUUUCUAAGAUUUUUAUUUCUUAUACGUUUAAGGUAUCGAUUUUAUUAGGCGUGGUCGUCAUAUCGGAUCAUGUCCAUAAUUUUUCGUUAACUUACCUCAGACAGUUA